UAAUAAUCAUAAACUUCAACGUUUUCAAUAAGUAUUUCCUUUGGAUGAAAGAGCAAAGAGACUGAAUUAUGCCAGCUUUAGUAAUUUAUUUACCACAUUUAUCUCCCUGCCAGGCUCUCCUCAGAUGAAGCACAACAUUACUUUCAGCAUUAGGGACAUCAUCUCAGGAUCGGAGCCUCUGAGAGGAGGCCCCUAAGCAUAACUCCCAGAAGUUCUUGUAGGUCCUGAUUUUCACAGAAGUGUCUCCAGUCCACAGGAGAAGAUGUGUGGGGGUAGGGAGAGGAGAGAAAAGGUUUCAGCGAUGGAUAAAAUGCUUUAAGUGUGUGACGAAGACACAGCCAUAGAACUACAAGUCAGAAUGCUCCAAGAGGCAAGGCCACCGCCACCCCUUCGCUGAAAAAAAGAGAAGACAUAGCUCAGCUGGAAGAUCGCUUCUAUUGCUGUUGAAAGAAUCUUCUGGGGCUGUUCAAAGUGGGCCCAAUUUGCCAUGAUGUCCUCAGAGAGACAGAGAGCAAAGAGCCAAAGAGAAAAAAAGUCAGUUCCCCGUGGACAUUAGGAAGACUGCUCUGGCCCCAAACUCUGGGCUCAGGGUUUGAUUCCAAGUGGAAGUGGCCAUUCCAGGCCAAAUGCUUGCAUGGUCCUCCUCUCGGCCAGACCCACAGGACUCCCUUCCACAGAACUUUCUCCAAAUCCCAUCCCUGGAUUUUUCAUGCGGCAUCUCAGUCACCACAAUGGCCUGGGACAAAGUCCUUGGAACAGGGCAGCGUCUCCUCCUCCCUCCGGCGAGCCUCGGUGCAGGUGUCCAAGACAAAGGCCAGGAAAGACUCGUUAAGGGCUGGUUGCUGAAAUUGGCAAUAGUCAGGCUGCGAGUUCCGGGAAGGGCUCCUCUGCGUCCGAGACUGCAGAACUGGGAAAGGGAUGAGAGCUCUCCUAUCAGCCGCCUCCGGGGCCUGCCUCCUCCAGGAACUUGGCAUCAAAGUUAAGAAAGAGUCCUUCAUCAGCUUUCAUGUCAUUGCUGGAUAUUAGACUCCUAAUAUGGGGAGACAUUGAGUUGGGCAUAGAAAAUAUUCUGGUCCACGCUGACAGCCACAUCGCAAAACUCCUGGUUCUUUCUCUGUUCAUUGAGGGCCUGCAUCACAAAACUGUUGUGGUUCUCUUCUAUAAACUGCAUCCUCAGUUUUGGAGCCAAGCUUGUCUGCAACUGAGACAAGCCUAUAACCAUAAAGGACUCUUUGCCCAGUUGUUGAAGACCCUACUCUGGGUACAGAGGAGUGAUGUCAUCAAAUAUAGGAGUUAGGUCACAAUUAUCUGUGACAUGGGUUGGGAAGAGUAUUUUCAAAUUGUCGUGUGUUUGGGUGCGUGUCAAAAUAAGAAGAGACUUCCAACAGUUUUAUGAAACAAAAUCUAAAGUUUACUACGACAGAAAAAAACCAGCGUUUUAAGAAAAAUAUAUGCAAAGGUUACAGAAAAUUCCCCAUUGGAGCAAAACAAGCAAAGGGCUUAAGGCUAUCUUCUUCCUAAUUACAUACCCUAGGGUUGAAUUUUGUUGUUUUCCCUACAGCCCCAGCCUUGAGUCCCUCUCUUGAGUCCCUUCCUGAACUAAGGCAGGUUUCACAAGUUAACCCUAUAAUCCACAAUAAACAGACCAGAGAGAUUUGCACCAAACAAGUAAGAUAUGCAUUCCCAUAUAAUACCCAACAGCCCAUAUCAAAGCAGAGACCAUAUAAACAGUCCAUUUCAGCAAGGUUGAAUUCCUUCACAGGAAUUAAAAUAGCUCUGGAACUGGAUUAAAUUGGAUUGAUAUCCCAAAGUCAAGAGGACAACUCCCAUGUUUUGAGCAGCGCUGUAUACUUUCUUGGUGCUAGAGGGUUAUGAGUCAUUCCUGCAAUUUCAAAUUGCAUGCUGAUGCUGGAAUAGGCAAUGUAUAAAUUAAUACAGUGGAUAUCUUAAUAGAAUGUAGGGAUGUAUCCAACUAACUUAUAUUCAGUGUACACCAGCCUCAGUUAGUCGUGUCCAUUAAUUUCCAUGAAUCAAUUCUGAAAAUGACUAAUAUUUAAUAUGACCCAUGCACUUUUAUGAGCAGGGCAAGUUCUUAUACGGAGUGAAUGCUGGAAACCCAGUGUACUGAUAAUCCAAAACUUCACAGGGCAGCUCAACAUAUUGGUCCCUGCCAGUGCCCACUUCUUGUCGUUUUUCUCUCAAUCCCAAGCAAUAGCAGCCAACACAAAUAGAGAUGGUGGUUAGUGUUUUGAAAGUAACUGUAUUUUUCUCGGGGUUUGAGUAUGCCCUGGUGGACAUACACUCACAGCCACCUUGCUAUAUAAAUGACAUCUUUCCUAAAACAAAACAUUUUAACCACAUCCGCCAGUCCCUUUCUGAAAUCCCACCCACCCAAAUCCCUGCCAGCCCCUCACUGUAGAAUCACACCCACCCAAAUCUCCUCUAGAACCUAGGUUGCUAGGGGCAGUUUCUAACAAAACGAGAGAGAUCAGAAAGGACAAAAGCAAAAUCAGAACAUACUAUAUUUAUUACAUUAAAAAAAUAAAAAGAGCAACAUCAUCUACAAGAAAUAAUGGUCCCUCCAUCGCUGUCACACAAGGACAUUUCGGGUGGAUUCAGAUCUCAUAAUCAUUGUAGACUUCAGUAUUUUCAAUUAUUAUUUCAUCUGGAUAGAAGGGAACAGAAGAGAAUGUUUUAUGCCAGUUUUACUCAUUUAUUUACCACAUUUAUGCUCUGACAUUCACCCGAAGGUCCCAGGACAGAAGUACAUAAAAUUCAAACCCAAAGUUCAGUAAUAUUAUUUGACCUCAGUCAAGUCCAGACUAAGGCGAUGGCUGAGUUCAACAUGACCCCAGAGGCCCAGUAGGGCUGCUGCUGGCUCCCAACCAUCACUGUCAUCACCCUCCAGCGAUGGACACCAGUUUCUGCCAUUUGGGCCUGGCAAGAACAUGGCACCUGGCAGUCACACACACACCCUGCUUUGAAAGCCCAGUGGUGCUUUCAGGUAGGAGAUGGAGAGCCAACACUGAUGUCGGGCACUGCAUUUGGGAAAGAGAAGGUGCCCCCUUCAGGCACCCACUCUCCCGUCCAAAAGAAGCACCAAUGUGUAAGCGGAGAGCAGCCUAUCCGGUGAGCUUUGCCAAAGGCCUAUUUGAGUCUGGUGCCAGGCCUGGACUUAGCAAGGGGUCAGGAGUCUCACUGUCCAGAUGAAAUCAAUAAAGGAAGUCUUUACGGU